UUAUAUGUGGGGUGGGCGGCGGUGGUGGUUCGGAGUGUGCGAGGGUUGGUCGGUUGUGUGGUGCGGAAAGGUGGUGGAGGGGGUGGUUCGCGUCGUAAGUGUAAUGUUGGGGCGUAGCUCUGAGCUUGCUUUCGAUACGGGUUGAUGUGAGGAAGGUAGGGGAGAAUGGAAUUCCUGGUGGAGCUGUGGAAUGCGCAGAUAGCAGGAGGAACACCAGUGGCGAAGGCGGUUCUCUGGGCCUUUCCUGACGCUGAGGAGCGAAAGCGUGGGGAGCGAACAGGCUUAGAUACCCCAGUAGUC
rnacentral:rRNA from 1 species